GCUUGGACUAGAUUUAUUCCCGUGGGUUCCUUCUGUUAUGGGUGGGUCCCUGAACAAAAUCCGGGUUCUGUUGGCAAGGACCCGGGGUGGUUGGAAGGGAGGUUGAAUAGGCAAUCGCUGUCUGAAAAGUUCCCAUCCUCUCAAUCAGAAAGGGCUUCUCCAGUCCCCGCGCUGCAUUCCUUCCUUUGUCGCAGCAAUCAACGUGUGGAGUGUGAUAAUGUGUUUGCUCAAGGGCCUGAUUUCCUGCGAAGGAUUGGGUGCCAACAACGCAUUUUUCUCUGUUAAUCAUGAGCUCACUGUUGCACAGGCUUUAUUCAUCAUAUCUUUGAAAGCGCGACACCCAGCCCGGUUCCAGCCGUACUAAGAGCUCAAGACUACACCUGCUGGUCUGGCUUGCAGCUGGAAUCGGAGAGGAAAAUCUAUUUCCGUGAACGGAGAAGUGUCAGAGGGAGCAGGCACAUGGCCGCUGGAGCCUGCAAACAGGCUCACGAGAGUCACUGUGGGAUGAGACUGCAGUUAGAGGCUUUGGACAACGAACCAGUCCACCAAACGUAAGGUAGUUACGUGGCGCCUUUCGCGCAGAAACUUCCAAGUGGAUGCAGGAAUCGAAGCCUUCGAGAAUCAGAAGCUUGCAUCAGGACUGGAUGUGGGGAUCAAAGCUGACGUGACUGACGCUUGGAACAGGUCUCUGUUAAUUUACAUGCAGCAUAAAAGCAAUCUUAUCUAGAAUCCUC